UACAGAGGUCUCAAGCGUUGUUCGGAUUCAUUGGGCGUAAAGGGUGUGUAGGUGGCGCGCUAAGUCGGGUGUGAAAUUUCGGAGCUUAACUCCGAAACUGCAUUAGAUACUGGCGUGCUUGAGGACUGGAGAGGAGACUGGAAUUCAUGGUGUAGCAGUGAAAUGCGUAGAGAUCAUGAGGAAGACCAGUGGCGAAGGCGGGUCUCUGGACAGUUCCUGACACUGAGACACGAAGGCCAGGGGAGCAAACGGG
rnacentral:rRNA from 1 species